rnacentral:rRNA from 1 species
AUUGAACGCUGGCGGCAGGCUUAACACAUGCAAGUCGAGCGGGGGGAGGUAGCUUGCUACCUAACCUAGCGGCGGACGGGUGAGUAAUGCUUAGGAAUCUGCCUAUUAGUGGGGGACAACAUUUCGAAAGGGAUGCUAAUACCGCAUGAUCUCUUCGGAGCAAAGAGGGGGACCGCAAGGCCUCUCGCUUCUGGAUGAGCCUACGUCUGAUUAGCUAGUUGGUAGGGUAAAGGCCUACCAAGGCGACGAUCAGUAACUGGUCUGAGAGGAUGAUCAGUCACACCGGAACUGAGACACGGUCCGGACUCCUACGGGAGGCAGCAGUGGGGAAUAUUGGACAAUGGGCGCAAGCCUGAUCCAGCAAUGCCGCGUGUGUGAAGAAGGCCUUCGGGUUGUAAAGCACUUUAGCCUGGAAAGAAAAAACUUUGGUUAACACCCAAAGUCUUGACGGUACCAGGAGAAUAAGCACCGGCUAACUCUGUGCCAGCAGCCGCGGUAAUAC